rnacentral:piRNA from 1 species
CCCGGGUGUCCCGGGUAUCUCGUCUUGG